UUCACCAAAAGAUUAUGUGAAUAAUUUAUGCAGCGUUGUAUUCUGCGAAUUAUCCGGAUUAAUAAUGGCGAUGGUUUUUCUUCUUAUACUACUUCUAUUCUCCAUGUGCUUUUUGUUUGUUUUUCCUGUGAAUGUUGUCCUCUGAUGUUUUUGAACUAAGAUGUUUUCAUUCCCUGUAGCUACUGUAUAAGCCACCACCUCCCCCACACACCCCUUUUCCAUCUUGAUCACCUAAAGAUAAAGUGCCGUUAAGCCAAUGAGAAAUAUGCUUGGAUGCUAGCUAAACUGAAAUCAAAAGAUGGUGUUUAAAAAUUGUCUUCACUUCAAGUGAUCGUCCCCAAAAGGAUUUUUAUUCCUGGAGACAUUGGUUUAUUGGGUGAUUACUCUGCGGACUGCGCUCUCAAUCAAACCUAGAGGAAUUUUUCGUGGAGGAGUUCCCUUAAAAUACAUUAAAACCGUCGCUGGACAAGUUAUACCCUGACGGGCAUCGAUUUCAACAAGAUAAUGACCCGAAGCACACAUCCAUUCUUGCAAGAGAAUUUAUGCAAAACAACAACAUAAAUCACUGGCCAACACCCGCUGAAAGUCCAGACCUUAACCCAAUAGAGAUGCUGUGGUCUGAAUUAAAACAGUAUCUACGUUGGCGUGUUAAACCGUCGACGAAAGAAGAAUUGGUCAAUGGCAUUAAAUUUUUUUUGAGAAAUGUUACUGUAGCAAAAUGUAAUAAAUACAUUGAUCAUUUAUAUAAGGUUAUUCCAAUAGUUAUUGAAAGAGAAGGUCGAGCAUCUGGACAUUAAAACAA